GACGAACGCUGGCGGCGUGCCUAAUACAUGCAAGUAGAACGCUGAAGGGAGGAGCUUGCUCUUCUUGGAUGAGUUGCGAACGGGUGAGUAACGCGUAGGUAACCUGCCUUGUAGCGGGGGAUAACUAUUGGAAACGAUAGCUAAUACCGCAUAACAAUGGAUGACACAUGUUAUUUAUUUGAAAGGGGCAAUUGCUCCACUACAAGAUGGACCUGCGUUGUAUUAGCUAGUAGGUGAGGUAAUGGCUCACCUAGGCGACGAUACAUAGCCGACCUGAGAGGGUGAUCGGCCACACUGGGACUGAGACACGGCCCAGACUCCUACGGGAGGCAGCAGUAGGGAAUCUUCGGCAAUGGGGGGAAGCCUGACCGAGCAACGCCGCGUGAGUGAAGAAGGUUUUCGGAUCGUAAAGCUCUGUUGUAAGUCAAGAACGGGUGUGAGAGUGGAAAGUUCACACUGUGACGGUAGCUUACCAGAAAGGGACGGCUAACUACGUG
rnacentral:rRNA from 1 species